rnacentral:sRNA from 1 species
UGUCAACAUACUGGUUGCAAAUGCUAGGAAUUGGGCAUAAUAUUGGCAGAAAAUAAAAAUCACAAGAAUGUCAUAUCAUUCAUUACCUAUAAAAUAAAAAUGAAUUAGUUAAAAUUAAACUUUCCUCAUUAAAAGCAACAAGCUUUGACUUUCUGGUUUUAAAAUUUAUUUGAAACUUAAUAUUUAUUAUUCCAUAGCAUUAUGUGGUGAUAAUUACAUGUCUUGGGGAUAUCACUUUUGUUAUUUUUAUUUUUAGGGAAGCACACUGAGAAAGCGGAAGAUGUAUGAGGAAUUCCUUAGUAAAGUCUCUAUUUUAGAGUCUCUGGACAAGUGGGAACGUCUUACGGUAGCUGAUGCAUUGGAACCAGUGCAGUUUGAAGAUGGGCAGAAGAUUGUGGUGCAGGGAGAACCAGGGGAUGAGUUUUUCAUUAUUUUAGAGGGGUCAGCUGCUGUGCUACAACGUCGGUCAGAAAAUGAAGAGUUUGUUGAAGUGGGAAGAUUGGGGCCUUCUGAUUAUUUUGGUGAAAUUGCACUACUGAUGAAUCGUCCUCGUGCUGCCACAGU